UACGGAGGGUGCAAGCGUUAUCCGGAUUCACUGGGUUUAAAGGGAGCGUAGGUGGCUUUGUAAGUCAGUGGUGAAAUAUUGCGGCUCAACCGCAAAACUGCCAUUGAUACUGCUUAGCUUGAAUCACGUCGAGGUGGAUGGAAUAAUACAUGUAGCGGUGAAAUGCUUAGAUAUGUAUUAGAACAACCAUUGCGAAGGCAGUUCACUAGGCGUGUAUUGACAACUUGAGGCUCGAAAAGCGUGGGGAUCAAACAGGAUUAGAAUGACCCUUGUA
rnacentral:rRNA from 1 species